ACAAGUACCGUGAGGGAAAGUUGAAAAGUACUUUGAAAAGAGAGUGCAAGAGAACGUGAAAUCGAUAUAAUGGAAGCGAAUGAAGUCGGCGUAUCUAGUGCGUAUUCAAUUGUCGACGUUGUGCAUGUAUGGUUGUUCGCGUAUUCCGCAAGGUUGCGUCAGCCGUAGGCCCGGUUGCAUACGUUCGAUAAUGCAUUUGCGUACAGAGUGCGACGAAACACACGAUUCAUUAUCGGUUGAUGUUGGCGUAGAGGGCAAGUCGACUUUGGUUGGUUUGUAACCUGCGCUUUCAACGGAUAAAUUUGAACCGAUUAAUGUUGUGUGUAUUUGAAUGGAAGGCAUUGGCCCACGUUGUUGGUUUUGCGGUUUGGUGUUUGCAUUAAUGAGUGCAUGCAUUCGUUAUGUUUAAGCAUCCGAUCGUAACGCCAUUAACACUUUGCCCAUUUCGUCGUAUAGUCGAUCACUCAUUUGACCCGUCUUGAAACACGGACCAAGGAGUUUAUAGUACACGCGAGUCAUUGAGUGUUUUCAAAGCUCAAAGGCGUAAUGAAAGUGAAACCGUUAACGGUUGAAACGUGAUCGUUGAGCUUUUUCCAAGGUUCGGCGAGCAACGUUGCCCCAUUCCUCGAACCGCGUGUUCUGGUGUGGAGGUUGAGCGUGUGCAAUGAGACCCGAAAGAUGGUGAACUAUGCCUGAACAGGAUGAAGUCAGAGGAAACUCUGAUGGAAGUCCGAAACGGUUCUGACGUGCAAAUCGAUCGUCUGAUUUUGGUAUAGGGGCGAAAGACUAAUCGAACCAUCUAGUAGCUGGUUCCUUCCGA
rnacentral:rRNA from 1 species